rnacentral:tmRNA from 1 species
GGGUCAGUAAAGGUUUCGACAGGGGUCUUGCAGCUGGAGAAGCUAUCCGCAGGCGAUGCGUUAAAUCGCAAAACUAAAAAUAAACGCUGAAGAUAAUUUAGCAUACGCUGCCUAAUGGCAGCUGUCUGACUUAGGGCACCUGCACCUUAAGACCCAGGCAUCGACUAUGCAGGAAACGACACAGGCAAAGCUUUGAGCCUGUGGGCGUAUGAUGAAGCUACCAAAACCGGAGGAGUGUCAGUCCCCGUCCGGUGGAGGGAACGAACAUUGACUGACUAUGAUAGUAGAAGGACAGGGAAUAGGCUUUUGGACACGGGUUCGACUCCCGUCUGAUCCAUCC